ensembl:misc_RNA Metazoa_SRP Metazoan signal recognition particle RNA
GCUGUGUGUGGUGGUGCACACCUGUAGUCCCAGCUACUCAGGAGACUGAGGCAGGAGGAUUGCUUGAGCCCAGGAGGCUGAGGCUGCAGUGAGCCAUCAUGGUGCCACUGCACCCUAGCCUGGGUGACAGAGCAAGACCAUGUCUCAA